AACGGGUUGGAAAACGAGGCUUUCAGAAGGCAUUGGCGCUUUCAACAAAUUGUGCCGGAAAACGGUUCAUUACUCGUCAAUUACCUGAAUGUUCCAUAGUUUCCUACUCUACCCUCUAAACUACCGGUCAGAUGGUCUUAUUUUUGCAUAGGGUCAAUUAAACAUGAAAAGAAAGGGAAAGAUAAAGAAGCACCAACAGGCAGAUCAGGUGCAAACAGACCCCAGCAUCACCACCGGACCCCAGAGCAGCUCCCUACCCGAGGCUACUCAGUGGUCAGACUUCCCAAGGACCCAGUCUACCACCACCAGAUGUAUUAAGGGAUGACACAGAGACCUCUGUGGAGAUGUCAUUGAGCCCCUCCCAACUGCAUCAAGCACCAGAUAUGCUGUUCCAAAAGGACUCAAUGAAUAUUUCAAGAUCCAGAGAAGAGCUUGCCUACGGAGCUGUGAGGGGAACGGCACCUCCGUACCUUCAGGCUCUGAUCAGUCCCUACACCCAAAGAAGGGCACUGCGUUCAUCCACCUCUGGCCUGCUCACCUCCCUACCUCUGCGGGAGCACAGUUCCUGCUCAGCCCAGUCAAAACUGUUCGCUGCUCUGGCACCCCAAUGGUGGAACAAGCUCCCUCACGACACCAGGACAGCGGAGUCAAUCACCACCUUCC